AUUAUAAGCAUACUAAUUGUAUGUUUAUAAUCUGUUUAAACCUCAAGCACAAUAUUCACUCACAUUUAAAUUACGUUUAAACCUCAAGCGCAAUUUGUGUGAUAAAUGUGUCCAUUUAUCAAAAUAGGCAUAUCAACAUAGCAGCAAACAUCUGAGUUAAAAAGCUUGGGUUAAAAUUUUCUAAUCAAAAUGAGCCCUAAACUGUCAUAGAAGAGAAAUCACAUUCGAUAUAGACUGUUUGUAAACCUUGCAUUGGAAUUUUUCUAGAAGAAAUGAGAAUAAGCAGUUUGCUAAUUGAUUGUGUAUUUUUCUGUCAUAUGCUUUCAAUCGUUCUGCAUUAAAAAAAUCGUACAUGUGAAUAGGAAGGAACCUUGACGUGGUUCAUGUGCUUUAAAACAAAUACCUUCCAGACAGAAACUUUCUGAUACCUU